CCUCUGUCAUCCCUAUGACCGCUUUCUGUUCUUUUUUCCACAAAAUUAAACCCUAAAAGAUUUUCCCCCAAAAUUUCCCUCAAAUCAUAAACCCUAAAAUUCUCUCUCCGUUCAUUGAUGUGCGAUAAUAUCCUCAGCUUCAAUUUUAUAACAAAUUGAAAAAGUCUUCAUUUGAAUGGCGUGGAGUGAGAAAAACUGAAGUGGUGAACCUCUUAAUUUUCGCCCUCUCUUCUCUAAUGGAAAGUGCAGUGACUACAUCAUCAAUGCCGCUAGAUGAUGGAUAUAAUGAAUAUGAAACCAAACAACGCAAGAGAAAGAAGACAUGUGGUAUGGAAGGAGUUUAAAGAAGGACGGAGUGAGAAAGGUGAGCUAAUAGCUAUUUGCGGUUAUUGUAAACUCAUGUUGGCGGCCGGCUCUAAUCAAGGCACAUCUCAUUUAAAGCUUCAUUUACUAGAGAGUUAUCCACUAUGGCCCAUUGGGCUUCCACUUGGGGAGGGGUGUUAAUACGGAGGAGGGGAAUUUGUCUUUGAUAUGAAUGAAUUCAAAAAAGAGAUCAUACUUUAUGUUGUAAAAGGUGCUCAUCCAUUUUCAACCGUUGAAGAAAAAAGGGAAUAGAAACAUGAUGUUCAAAGCUGCUCCUUAUUUUAAACCUUUUAGUCGGACAAUGCUUACUAGAGAACUAUUUUCCUUAUACACUUGUGAUAGAGAAAAGAUUAAAGCAAUGUUGUUAGGUGC